AUUUCCUUUUCUUUUAUUCUAAAUAAACAAAGGGCCAAAUUUUUAGACCCUAGUUCUGCAAAUGCUUGCAGGCCUAUUUAAUCAUUCAGAAGUGUUUGAAGAAUCACUCAGUACUUACUUGAAUAUAAUGCUUACCAAGUCAGUAGGGUUUUGCUAGGGUACAGAACUCAUGUUUCCGCACCAAGCGACUUCUUAUAUCUAGCAUUCUGUGAGACAAGAGAAUUGGUACUUUUAACUAUAAUCCAGUAGUUCAGUAUAAUUCAAAUAUAAUUCACGUUAGUUCUCUUUCUCACAGACCUUUAGUGUUUUAUAAAGGGAAAGAUAACCUGAACAACUAGUCUACACUGUGGUAUCUCUGUGGUACUCUUGAGACUAUACACACACACACGAGUAUCAGUAUUUUUUUAUACAGGAUGCAGAUGAUGCAACAUGUAAAAGAAAUGCUUUUGAAAGCACUUGAGAACCUGUGUAUAGAAGGAAUAUAAACGCCUUUCUUUAGUGCAUGCAUUCGAUUUUGCAGAUACUGACUUUAAUAGGAUUACUUGCAGCAUAAAGUUAAACAUGCAUCAUAGGUGUGUUACAUGUUUUAGUGACAUCCUGAGAUCUGUUUGAUAUGUGUUAAUUGCAAAGCCAGAAGCCUAAUGCUAAAGGAAAGGAGAAACAUUUUGAAUCUAGUUUGGAGUAGGAAAACUGAAAGGGGAUAUGUUUGAGUGGCCUGUACAAAAAUAAUGACCUUUUUUAAGGAGGACAAAAUGAUGAAGAAAAAUUCACUAGUUUUUAGUUACAUGGACUACUCUGUAAUCACUCAAUAGAGGAAACGUAAAUCUGUGCACUAAGAACAGAGGGGUUUAUUUUAAAAAUGUUUAUUUAUCUGAGAACAUUAAAAGGAUUUGCUUUUCAGUAAUCUACUAAAAAUUGCAAAUAUUACUUCUGUUGCCGAAUUAUUUUGAUCACAACAGAAUGUUAACCAUAACACCCUAAGGAACAAAUUCUGCUAGCUUUACUCAUGGAGAAUUAAAAAAGAAAAAUGGAAAGAUUACUUUUAUGGGCAAGACUCUCCUCUUAACUUGGAAGGUGUGUUGUUUUGAUAGAGUAGAGCAGCGCUCUGAAAUUUUGUUGGAGAGCAAAUCAGAAUCAAUGACUCCUGUACAAGGGAAGUGUGUAAGCCGAAAGCAAGAAACAUCCCCUGUGCAAAACAAAGAAUUAAAUUGCGGAGAUUACACUUCCCCAUUAAGGAAUAGGUCUAUCUGCCUUUAUUUUGUGGCCAAAUCUCUAGACUAACUGCUCUGGCUAGCAAGUGUAGCACAGAGUGGUCAAAGAAAAUUAAUGUCCCCCAGAUCGCUAGUUUCUAGCUCAUGCGACAUACUUUGCUCGUGUCUUACUGACAUUAGUAGUGACAUCGAGAAUAAGUGAAUAAGCCUUGCUAGUCUGAUAUUAAAGGAAUAGCUGCUCUAGGUUGCAUACCACUUACUCAAAGAAGAACAGAGAGGCUGCAUCAAGAAAUGAACUUGACUGUUUCCUGAGGUCAUAGGCACCCCAAGUGCCGAUCUCAAGAAUUUCUGGAGCGUGACUUAGACUGCUUUUGCAGGUGGUGAAGUCUUGGGUUUCCAGCAUGUAGCGUUAUGAUCUCAGUGUCUUGCUAUCCUUCCUUUAAAGACAUGCGCAUGGGAAAACAGUUACGGUGUCCUCAAAAGCUUGCAAAAGUGGUCGGCAACUUAUUUAAAAUAGAUGAGAAUGUCAUGAAGGGGAGGAACCACCCUAAGUAUGUAGUAGAAGAUCCUUAGAGAUUUUUUAUACAUAGAGCCAAAUUUGUAUUUCAAGAUAUUGUUGCACUGAAGUGAAUUCAUCAUGCACAUUGAAAUGUGUGAUGAGUUAAAUAAAAAUAAAUAAAUAAGAAAUCUGCGUUCUUCUACAUAAUGUCUUGAGCAGCCGUUUUCUCUGUGUGGGUUUGUUUUUGUAGUAAGUUCCAGGGUCAAGCUAACUAUUAAAGCCCAGCAUAUUAGUAGUAUUGAGAAAUGCUUGUUCUUAUUUUUCAACAUUCUUUAACAUGAAAAUUUGUUUAUUGUAGUGCUUGCUUCUAACAUGUUUGAAUUUCAAUUACCCUAUGUACGGCAGUCGUAGGUAUUUGAGAACCAGGGCGCUCUCUGCCAUUUCUCCAGACAUCAAAGAGAGAGUCGCUAUACCAAAUGCAUGGUCUGUAGUCUGAGGAGCUGUCUUCACUAGCAAAUUCACCCAAGUUGCGACAUAUUCAGCUCCUUCAUUCAGCUGCUAAACCCCUUAGAUCCUGUGUUUUUAAUGCAUUCCUUCAAGGCAGGUAGCACAGCUGGAGGCGUAGGACAAACGUUUCAUGGACCCAAGUCAUUUUGCAUCACUUCAUUUAAAGUGCUUGACUUGUAGCAGAGAAGUCGUCUUCUGCAAGACUAACCUAGCUCUGUUGCAAGAAAUGAUACUGACCAAGGAAGGUGAGCUUUAAUGCAGCUCCACAGUACUACUGCCAGGAGUAGGGUGAGUUUUGCAUGUGCAGAGGCCUCUUGGAGAUGCAAAUAUGUAUUUUUAUGCUUUCAAAAAACAUUUGCAAUCAUUUGUAAAAGUUCUAGUUUAUAAAUAAAUGAAAAUACAUCAUUUACUAGCUAUAUACAAAAAGAGUGUAUUAUCAAAAAAAAAAAAUUUCUAGCAUCUAGGGCAUUCUCCCAGAAAACAUUAACACAUUUUAAGUGGAAAUUAUUGCAAGGCACUUCACAGAUUAAAUAGCAGAGGGUUUUUCAGUGUUAGGAAGAAAGACAAUCUCACUAGUGCAGAAGUGAUGCCCAAUAGACAAGAAACUACUGGAAAGACGUUUGAAAGAGGUUGCCUAGCUGUACCUUUAAUCAGAUGCUGAAAGUUCAUGUGCAGUUGGAUACUGCCCUCACUAUCUUGAACUGGUGAGGGUACAGGCUCUGUGUGCACAUUUGCCUGAGAAAUGCCACUCUGUCUCUCUUCUUGGUGGAGCUGGCUUGUCCCACCAGCCUGCAUGGGCCAGGCAGCUGGCUCGGACCUUGCAGACCCCUCUUCCAUGCAGCCAGGGCAGGCUUGGGGUUGCCCUGAGAAAUGUAGGAGUAACCAAGAUUGCACAUUUGGUGCCCCUGCAUACUGUAGAAAAAGCACAGGUGGCCAUCUGGUAUUACCGUCAGGAGGCUUAUUUUCUUCAUGAGGUUAUUUUCUUCUUGCAGGAACUUGACAAGUGACCUAGUAGAUCAGCAGAGUAGUUAUUUAAAACCGUCACUGGAGUCUGUUCCCCUACCAUUCGUUAGGAAUUGGAUAAUACUAAGUCAGAGAAGGGCUCAUGAAGAUACUAGAUGUAAAUGGACAGAACGUGCUGUAAAAUAUAUGCAAGAAAACCCUUUAAUCCAGUGGAGCUCUUUAUGUUGGAUAACUGUAUUGGCUGGUAAUUUGAGCCCUUGCCUCCGCUUGACUCCUUUUGCUCAGGCCCCAGUCCUUCCCUUGACUUUAGUGGCCUUGAGGUCUAAACUUACGUGAUAUAGCAAAGUUACACAAAGUACAGAUGACUAUCCUUGUUUUCCUGAAUCUUAGGGGCUUGAUUAAAGCUCACUACAGCAAUGGGAAUAUUGAUGCUGAUUUCAGUAGGAAUAAGAUUGCAUAACUAUUUAACCAGUUGGGAGCAGAUGUAUGCUAGCUAUUGCAUGAUAAUAUAAUUAAUUGAUAGUGAAAUGAAUUGAAAAUAGUCAUUAACUGAGACAUUACUAAUCUGCUGUUCAUUAUCAGUGUGUAUUUUAAUCUCCAUUAAAUAAAUAGUAUUGUCUUCAUAAAUCCCUGCAAAGACAAAAUAGUAAGACUAUUAAUUGUGGGCAGGUUGUCCAGAGUACAUGUCGGGCAUCUAUGGAGACUUCUUUAAACAGAAAAAUAAAUUAAUGGAAUAAACUCUCUUAGCAGAAUGUUCUAAUAUAGUCCCAUUUUACUAGAAAACCCACUGUUAAUUCAAAAUAUACUGUUGUAUUUUUACUGGACUAUUUGCUCUUUUCUGUUGAUAUUUCAUUAACUGUAAUUGUGAUCUUAGUUCAGUAACUUUUAUAUUCAGGUUACAGUGGGUUUUGGUCAUCACUGCAAAUUAGAAACAUGAAAAUUCCCAUGCUGGAUCAAAUCUGUGAUCUAUUAGUGUUCUUACAGUGGCCAGUAUAAGAUGCUUUGAAGAACGGUGUAAAAUAUCAUGUGAUGGAUAAUUCUGAAAUAAACUGCAUACAGGACAGUAUUUUUCAGAAAUAGUCAGAGUUUAGCAAACAUCCAAGCAUAAGGUUUAAUGAGUUCAUAGGGUCAUGACAUGCCAGUUAAUUUUGAAAGUUACUUGUUAUAUAUGAAGCUUUUUGCUUUUCUUGUGUAUUUUUUUUUGAUGCGCUAGUUUCAUUUCUGAUGGGUUUCAAACAUUGACACAGGUGCACAGAAGGUGACAAGACAGAAAUAAAAUUUCUUUGAAAUAUGAGUUGAGCAUAUUCAAAAUUCACUAUUCGUGUUAGAGGGAUGUCUCUAUCAGCUAGAAUGUCUCAUUACACGAGGAGGCUAGACCAGGGAAAGGUCUCUAAAUCUCAGUAGGUUUCAGCAUUAGGCAGUCUGAUAGAAUGGAUGCUUGCAUGUAGCCAGAGGAAAAUAUUUAUUAAGAGUGUGUGUUCCAUAUAGCUGGCUGUGCUGAUUAUGGAGCCACUCAUAAAGCGUUUAAAUGGCAAGGUUUUAUGUAUGUCUCUUACAAAUCUAUUGGUGAUGUUCCUCUGUUGUGCUCAGCUGCAUGGUGCUUUGGUUACCCAGGUGCUUUGAAAAACAUCACCAACAGUCAUUCCAUCAAUUAAUAUAUGUUACUGUAAAGUGUCUUUUGGAUAAAAACCUUACGGGACCAUGACUUGUAUAAGCCCUCACACACAGUGAAGGAUUCAGGGUUUGUUUCCGAACAAAACAUUUCCUUGCGACUUUCCACUGUUGUAAAUAGUUAAGUCCUUCUUUCCCAAAGGUACCUAUGCCUCAUUGACAUUAUAUGCAGAUAGCUGAAGAAGAUAAAUUGUAUACGUAAGAUUUUUUUAAUAGGAAUUACUGCCUUGAACAACUUCUCUGGUAACUCUGAGAGAACUUAUUCCAUAAAAUGUAAUCUUGAUAAAUAGCUCACUUUGUUUGUAAGUAAGUGAAGUACUCAACUUUUAGGUGCUGUCCAUAACUCCCUACUUACUGCUGCAUUUUUCCAUGAUAGUAGUCACCAUCAAGUCCUCGUCUAUCAGCCUACUUGUUAGUCCUGUCUGUGCCUUGAAAGAUUCAGUCUUUCACCCCUUCUCACUGAAGGUGAUUUCAUUUAAUUGCACAUUCCAGGGACAACAAAACAAGAAUGAAGAGACUCUCUUGUAUUGGGAGAGGAUGUUUUGGCUCAGUCAUUGUUUGGAGUAUUUUAUGUUUGAGUACAGGAAUGGAGAUUAGGUUUUGUUACCUUUUCUCUUUGGGUUAGGGCUGAUGCCAGGCUGCUGCUCUGCUCUUUUCCUUUAACUCAGUGACUUUAGCUGCUUCUCUGUAUGGCUUCAACAGUAACAUAGAGCAUAUCCCCUACCCGGACGGCUAGCAGCCACUGCCUUGCAAGAAGCUAUCAAGCCUCAGAAGAGGCAUAUGCUUAUUCGUUCUCAUGCUGCCUGUGCAGGCAGGAGCGUAAAGGAGAAAACAAGACUAAGGUUUCUGCACUACAGCCGGCCAUGCAACCAGUGAGGAAUUCUGCCAGCUGGCCACCAGGUGGUACCAGGGCUGCAUUUGGUGAAUUCAGUUCUGCUUUUAGUGCUGCAAUAAAGUACUGCAGUCCCUCGUGCAAUCCCUGAUCCCCAAGCACAACUUGGGGAAAUGCAGCCACCACUUUGCAUGCAGAGGUUAGCUGCAGCCACAGAACUGACUGUUCAUGUAACAUAUCACCUACCUAAAUAAGCCUUUACUUUACGUGACUGUUAAAGAGCAAUAUAUUGAUAGGGUUCAUUUCCCAUCAUCCCAGCCAUUCAUUGCCUUAUUUUCAUAAUGUUCUGCUUUAAUCAGAGGUUGUAGCUUCAGAACCAGCAAGUAUUAGCACUAACUGUAGACUUUUUCUUUUUAAAAUAAAAAAAACUAAGUUGCA